rnacentral:lncRNA from 1 species
AUUGCAGCUACUGUCUCUCUCAACUGUGUUCUUGUCACUUAGAUUAACUGUGCUGAGACCCGAAGUAGCUCAUGGAUCUGUGUCUUAGUAACUUAUUAAACACGAUGGUUUAAGUAUGUAUUAUGAACAAGUUGUUGUACCCAUAUUGUUUGAACUUAUGUAUUCAGCAACUAUAUUGUAUAAUGUAUGUCUGUUAUUUACCAGAGGUGGCAAAACUUUGUAUGUCCAGUUUAUGCAAUGAAUGUUGUAAAUGCAAUGAUGUAGUUUGGAUUUAAUAAAUGAUGGUUUUUUCGUUUCUAAAAAGGCAAAAAAAAUUAAAAAAAGGUCAGUGUUCACCCUUAUACACAGGUAACCAAUUUCAUGUUGAUAAUUACAGGAAUAUUCUCUUACUGUUAUCUAUCUACAUAGCAUUAUGGUGGUUGGAAAUCGCUUCCAUGGAGAUUCUGUGGCAGCAGGUUCCCAUGGGAAGCUUUGUUUAUGGAAGUGUGAAGGAGGAAACCUCAUCACCUGCCACUUCUGUUGGAGCUGCAGACACUGCUUGGGACCCCCGAGAGCAACUGGAUCCCAUUCCUUCUUGGAUUCCUGGAGUGCUCCCCACCCUGAGUUUGCUGCAGGCUUGUGCAGAGACUUUGCCCUAGCCCAGGCUGCUCCGAGCCCUGCCCAGCCUGGCCCUCAGCCCAGCUGCAGCUGAAACUCCACGGAACUGUGGUGAGUCAUUAAUUGCCUCCUUCCUAAUGAAGGGAAAAAAGGAUUCUCCAUGAGGACACCCCCAAAAAUGUCCUUGCACGAGGAACAAGAACCGCCUGGAAGUGGAAGGGAGAAAAAGUACAAACCCAAGGAAGUCACUUCAUCCCAUAGCAACAAGCCCGUUCAACAGGAGGAGCAUGUUCACAGCAGAGCCCUAAAAAAGGAGCUGUUAAAAUAAACAUUGGCAUAUCUCACA